AUGGACGAAAUGGCAAGCCUGGACACAGAGGGACCAAGGGUCGUAUUGGACAGAGAGGGCAUGUUGGCCAGCCUGGUUCACCGGGUCUGCCAGGCCCACCUGGGACAGAGGGACCAGAAGGAAAGCCUGGGCAUCUCUGGUUCAGUAGGAGUAACUGGUAAUAAAGGCCUAAUGGGAUUUCAGGGCAUUGCCGGAGAGCCAGGUCCAGAUGGUGCCUCAGGAGCUCCAGGCCCACCUGGACACAGAGGAACAUCAGGGAUCCCUGGGCCACAAGGAGAGAGGGUGAGUGAUACGUUAGGAAGGUUAAGUACAGUAUGGACAACAUUGUCACAGUCAUAUCAGGGUAAGGAAAUGUUACAAUUACAGAGAAUGUUGUUAAGGGGGGGGUAAUUGGUUAAGGGGAGUACUUGGUUAAGGGGGGUAUUUGGUUAAUGGAGGUACUUGGUUAAGGGGGGUACUUGGUUAAGGAAGGUACUUGGUUAUGGCGGGUAUUUGGUUAAGGGAGGUGCUUGGUUAAGGAAUGUACUUGGUUAUGGGUGGUGUUUGGUUAAGGAAUGUACUUGGUUAUGGGUGGUAUUUGGUUAAGGGAGGUACUUGGUCAAGGGAGGUACUUGGUUAGGGGAUGUACUUGGUUAAGGGAGGUACUUGGUCAAGAGCAGUACUUGCCUCCUUAACCAGUAUUUUGGAUUCUGAAAAUACAAAAUAACAGUAUUAAAAUUAGAUAUACAACUUACUGCAAAUAUAUUUUAUGUUUAUGCACUGGUCUUUAGGGUAUUUUGUUUUUUUGUUUUGCCGACCUUUGUUUCCACCAGGGUUUCACAGGGAAGGAAGGUGUGGAGGGGGCUCAGGGUCCUGUAGGCAUGUAUGUAAGUGAUGCUGCUGUAGGGUAAACAGGGCAGUUUGGACCAACACGAUCCAUAUCAGCCUGUCCAUAAUCCAUAUUGAUGCCAUCCUGUGCGUAACUGCGUAAUACCCAUCUGCUUUCACCUGGUGUCUCUUCCCCUCAGGGUUUCCCUGGUAACACAGGGAUGCGUGGCAUGACAGGUCCCAUGGGAGAGAGGGUAAGGAGUCACCUUAGUUAAAAUUCACGGUAUCUUUGUUCCCAAUAGCUUAGCAUCUUUGAGACCUUGUUUUGGUGUUCCAGGGAGAUACUGGUGUGAGAGGCCUGCCUGGUUUGACUGGGAAGCUUGGACCACCAGUAAGUGUCUUUUAUAUGAGGUUCUUGUAAGCCCCUACUAUGACUGAUGUUAGGUUGAGUGAUGGUAGGAGUAUUGAGCUUGUGUUGGUGUUUCUCUUUUUUUAGGGUUUACCAGGACCUUCUGGGGAGAGAGGCCCUCCAGGACCUCAGGUAAACCACAUUUCCUUGAAUCACAUUUAAAAAAAACAAUACUACAAUGUUCUCGUUAUAGGCUCGAUUCUGUGGUCCAUAAUUCAUUUAUCAAU
rnacentral:lncRNA from 1 species